rnacentral:rRNA from 1 species
UACGGGGGGAGCAAGCGUUGUUCGGAUUUACUGGGCGUAAAGGGCGCGUAGGCGGCGUAACAAGUCACUUGUGAAAUCUCCGGGCUUAACCCGGAGCGGCCAAGUGAUACUGUUGUGCUAGAGUGCGGAAGGGGCUACUGGAAUUCUCGGUGUAGCGGUGAAAUGCGUAGAUACUGGGAGGAACACCGGUGGCGAAGGCGGCUACCUGGACCGGUUCUGACGCUGAUGCGCGAAAGCGUGGGUAGCAAACAGG